CAAAAUUGAAGCUCUCGGGUUGGAAACGGGAGAGAAGGAAGAAGAAGAAGGAGAAGAAAAGAAAAGUGUUUCUUCUAGGGUCCUUUUUGCAAAAAGUGGUUUUGCAAAAUACAGAUAUCGUCCAACCUUCCUACGAAGCUCGACGUGCGUGCGAAGUAGAGGGCUUGCAGAUCCAGGCCUCGCAGAGCUACCUUCAGGGAUCCAGAUCCAGAU
rnacentral:lncRNA from 1 species